AAUAGAUACCCUGGUAGUCCACUCCGUAAACGUUGGGAACUAGUUGUGGGGGCCUUUUCUACGGUCUCCGUGACGCAGCUAACGCAUUAAGUUCCCCGCCUGGGGAGUACGGCCGCAAGGCUAAAACUCAAAGGAAUUGACGGGGACCCGCACAAGCGGCGGAGCAUGCGGAUUAAUUCGAUGCAACGCGAAGAACCUUACCAAGGCUUGACAUAUACCGGAAACGGCUGGAAACAGUCGCCCCCUUGUGGUCGGUAUACAGGUGGUGCAUGGUUGUCGUCAGCUCGUGUCGUGAGAUGUUGGGUUAAGUCCCGCAACGAGCGCAACCCUCGUUCUAUGUUGCCAGCACGUUAUGGUGGGAACUCAUGGAAUACUGCCGGGGUCAACUCGGAGGAAGGUGGGGAUGACGUCAAAUCAUCAUGCCCCUUAUGUCUUGGGCUUCACGCAUGCUACAAUGCGGUACAAUGGGCUGCGAUACCGUGAGGUGGAGCGAAUCCCAAAAGCCGGUCCCAGUUCGGAUUGUAGUCUGCAACUCGACUAC
rnacentral:rRNA from 1 species